CCUACGGGAGGCAGCAGUGGGGAAUAUUGGACAAUGGGCGAAAGCCUGAUCCAGCCAUGCCGCGUGUGUGAAGAAGGCCUUCGGGUUGUAAAGCACUUUCAGUGGGGAAGAAAGCCUUGGGGCUAAUACCCUCGAGGAAGGACAUCACCCACAGAAGAAGCACCGGCUAACUCCGUGCCAGCAGCCGCGGUAAUAUGGAGGGUGCGAGCGUUAAUCGGAAUUACUGGGCGUAAAGCGCGCGUAGGCGGUCUGAUAAGCCGGUUGUGAAAGCCCCGGGCUCAACCUGGGAACGGCAUCCGGAACUGUCAGGCUAGAGUGCAGGAGAGGAAGGUAGAAUUCCCGGUGUAGCAGUGAAAUGCGUAGAGAUCGGGAGGAAUACCAGUGGCGAAGGCGGCCUUCUGGACUGACACUGACGCUGAGGUGCGAAAGCGUGGGUAGCAAACAGGAUUAGAUACCCGGGUAGUC
rnacentral:rRNA from 1 species